GCCUUGGUAGCUCAGCGGUUAAACACUCGGCUGAUAAUCAGGAGGUCGCGGGAUCGAAUCCCAAUCAAGGCA
rnacentral:tRNA from 1 species